UAUGUACUCCCUCCGUUUCAAAUUACUUGUCGCAGAUAUGGAUAUAUCUAGAUGUACUUUAGUUCUAGAUACAUCCAUUUCUACGACGAAUAAUUUGGAACGGAGGGAGUACGUU
rfam:Triticum aestivum genome assembly, contig: Triticum_aestivum_CS42_TGACv1_scaffold_193587_3AL